rnacentral:rRNA from 1 species
UUCCUCUUGUUGAAGGGAGGUAAGGCCUGCUCACUGAGUUAUUAAAGAGCCGCAGUAUCCUGACUGUGCUAAGGUAGCAUAAUCAUUAGUCUUUUAAAUGGAGACUGGUAUGAAUGGUUUAACGAGAAAUCAGCUUUUUUUAUUAUAGAAAUUGAAUUUAACUUCUUAGUGAAAAGGCUAAGAUAGAUCAAAAAGACGAGAAGACCCUAUAGAGUUUUAUAGAUUUGUGGACCAUUUNUUGAAUAGAUUUACUCAAGAAGCGUUCUAAAAAUCUGUUUGGUUGGGGCGACAUUAAGAUAUAAAAAACUCUUUAUUUUAAAGAUUUUUAUGAAAAUAAUUAUUGAUCCUCUAUAUGAGAUUAUAAGAAAAAAUUACCUUAGGGAUAACAGCGUAAUCUUUUUUGAGAGUUCUAAUCGACAAAAAGGUUUGCGACCUCGAUGUUGGACUAAAAUUUGAGCAAGGUGCAGCAGCUUUGUUUCUAGGUCUGUUCGACCUAUAAAAUUUUACGUGAUCUGAG